UUCAUCUAAUGGAUUCCAAUGGCAAAGUUCUCUUCUCGAUUCGAAAUAGGAAAGUUCCUGUAUUUGGACAUUGGGAUGGUUAUAAAUGGAGUUAUGAUGGAGUUACUAGUAAAGAAAUACCAUGGUUUCAAGUGAAGAAAAUUCACAAUGUUCUUAGAGAAGUUAAUGUGAACUAUUAUAAUGUUAUAUUAGGAU